CUCGUAGGCGGUCCGUCGCGUCGGAAGUGAAAACCUGGGGCUCAACUCCAGGCCUGCUUUCGAUACGGGCAGACUUGAGUGCGGUAGGGGAGACUGGAACUCCUGGUGUAGCGGUGGAAUGCGCAGAUAUCAGGAAGAACACCGAUGGCGAAGGCAGGUCUCUGGGCCGUUACUGACGCUGAGGAGCGAAAGCAUGGGGAGCGAACA
rnacentral:rRNA from 1 species